UGCUUGUUGUCGUCUUGUGCAGACCGACAGCCCUAUUCUAUGCAGUAUCACAGAAUCCGCCGACAAAAUUCUCUCACGUGGGGUGUGCCUAGCUGCCCAGUGGAUACCUUCGCACGUGGGCAUUGCUGGAAAUCUAGAGGCUG
rnacentral:lncRNA from 1 species